GUGGGCCGCCCAUGGUCAGGGGAAUUGAUUGCGAAAGAUAAUGGAGUAGACACGUGGUCAUCACCUUGACCCGCCACGUGGAAUCUGUUAUGAGGGGUGGAGCAGCGUCCGUUGUCAGCGGACAGGAGAAUCGCAUGGUAUCCAUUGCAGGAGGUGGAGCAGGUUCGUGGCCGACACUGUGGCCUGCCAGGGGAUAAUGGAGCUGUGCGGAGUCCGCCACAGGAAGUGGAGCAGGGCGGCUAUGGUUACUGCGGCCUGUCAGGGAAUGAUGGUACU
rnacentral:lncRNA from 1 species